UUCUAUUAGAUUUAAUUAAUAGUAUAAUCUGCUCAAUGAUAUUAAAUAGCCGCUAUUACUGUGCUAAGGUAGCAUAAUCAUUUGUCUUUCAAUUGAAGACUAGAACAAAAGAUUAAACAAUUUAAUUAAUUUAUUAUAAUUAAAUAUUUUAAUUUAUUUUAAAUAUAAAAAAACAUUUAUAAUCAAGGAAGACGACAAGACCCUAUUAAACUUAACUUAAGUUUAACUGGGGUAGUUAAUCAAUUAAUACUUUUAUAAAAAUAUAAAAACAAAAGAUCCAAUAAAAUUGAUUUUAUAAUCAAGUUACUAUAGGGAUAACAGCGUUAUAUAUAUUUAAAGAUCUCAUUUAAAUAAAAAUUACGACCUCGAUGUUGAAUUAAUAUCCUAAAUUGCUGCAAUAAAUAAAUAAAGGAAGUCCGUUCGACUUUUAAAAAAUUACA
rnacentral:rRNA from 1 species